AUGCUGUGAGCUCGAUGAGUAGGGCGGGACACGUGGUAUCCUGUCUGAAUAUGGGGGGACCAUCCUCCAAGGCUAAAUACUCCUGACUGACCGAUAGUGAACCAGUACCGUGAGGGAAAGGCGAAAAGAACCCCGGCGAGGGGAGUGAAAAAGAACCUGAAACCGUGUACGUACAAGCAGUGGGAGCACAGGUUUACCUGUGUGACUGCGUACCUUUUGUAUAAUGGGUCAGCGACUUAUAUUCUGUAGCAAGGUUAACCGAAUAGGGGAGCCGGAGGGAAACCGAGUCUUAAUUGGGCGUUAAGUUGCAGGGUAUAGACCCGAAACCCGGUGAUCUAGCCAUGGGCAGGUUGAAGGUUGGGUAACACUAACUGGAGGACCGAACCGACUAAUGUUGAAAAAUUAGCGGAUGACCUGUGGCUGGGGGUGAAAGGCCAAUCAAACCGGGAGAUAGCUGGUUCUCCCCGAAAGCUAUUUAGGUAGCGCCUCGUGAAUUCAUCUCCGGGGGUAGAGCACUGUUUCGGCUAGGGGGCCAUCCCGGCUUACCAACCCGAUGCAAACUGCGAAUACCGGAGAAUGUUAUCACGGGAGACACACGGCGGGUGCUAACGUCCGUCGUGAAGAGGGAAACAACCCAGACCGCCAGCUAAGGUCCCAAAGUCAUGGUUAAGUGGGAAACGAUGUGGGAAGGCCCAGACAGCCAGGAUGUUGGCUUAGAAGCAGCCAUCAUUUAAAGAAAGCGUAAUAGCUCA
rnacentral:rRNA from 1 species